CCUACGGGUGGCAGCAGUGGGGAAUAUUGGACAAUGGGGGGAACCCUGAUCCAGCCAUGCCGCGUGUGUGAAGAAGGCCCUCGGGUUGUAAAGCACUUUCAGUGAGGAAGAACGCCUGGUGGUUAAUACCCAUCAGGAAAGACAUCACUCACAGAAGAAGCACCGGCUAACUCCGUGCCAGCAGCCGCGGUAAUACGGAGGGUGCGAGCGUUAAUCGGAAUUACUGGGCGUAAAGCGCGCGUAGGUGGCUUGAUAAGCCGGUUGUGAAAGCCCCGGGCUCAACCUGGGAACGGCAUCCGGAACUGUCAAGCUAGAGUGCAGGAGAGGAAGGUAGAAUUCCCGGUGUAGCGGUGAAAUGCGUAGAGAUCGGGAGGAAUACCAGUGGCGAAGGCAGCCUUCUGGACCGACACUGACACUGAGGUGCGAAAGCGUGGGUAGCAAACAGGAUUAGAUACCCCUGUAGUC
rnacentral:rRNA from 1 species